rnacentral:rRNA from 1 species
AUAGCUUGACACUGAACAUUGAGCCUUGAUGUGUAGGAUAGGUGGGAGGCUUUGAAGUGUGGACGCCAGUCUGCAUGGAGCCGACCUUGAAAUACCACCCUUUAAUGUUUGAUGUUCUAACGUUGACCCGUAAUCCGGGUUGCGGACAGUGUCUGGUGGGUAGUUUGACUGGGGCGGUCUCCUCCUAAAGAGUAACGGAGGAGCACGAAGGUUGGCUAAUCCUGGUCGGACAUCAGGAGGUUAGUGCAAUGGCAUAAGCCAGCUUGACUGCGAGCGUGACGGCGCGAGCAGGUGCGAAAGCAGGUCAUAGUGAUCCGGUGGUUCUGAAUGGAAGGGCCAUCGCUCAACGGAUAAAAGGUACUCCGGGGAUAACAGGCUGAUACCGCCCAAGAGUUCAUAUCGACGGCGGUGUUUGGCACCUCGAUGUCGGCUCAUCACAUCCUGGGGCUGAAGUAGGUCCCAAGGGUAUGGCUGUUCGCCAUUUAAAGUGGUACGCGAGCUGGGUUUAGAACGUCGUGAGACAGUUCGGUCCCUAUCUGCCGUGGGCGCUGGAGAACUGAGGGGGGCUGCUCCUAGUACGAGAGGACCGGAGUGGACGCAUCACUGGUGUUCGGGUUGUCAUGCCAAUGGCACUGCCCGGUAGCUAAAUGCGGAAGAGAUAAGUGCUGAAAGCAUCUAAGCACGAAACUUGCCCCGAGAUGAGUUCUCCCUGACUCCUUGAGAGUCCUGAAGGAACGUUGAAGACGACGACGUUGAUAGGCCGGGUGUGUAAGCGCAGCGAUGCGUUGAGCUAACCGGUACUAAUGAACCGUGAGG